rnacentral:rRNA from 1 species
CAACUUUCAACAACGGAUCUCUUGGUUCUGGCAUCGAUGAAGAACGCAGCGAAAUGCGAUAAGUAGUGUGAAUUGCAGAUUCAGUGAAUCAUCGAAUCUUUGAACGCACAUUGCGCCCCUUGGUAUUCCAUGGGGCAUGCCUGUUCGAGCGUCAUU